CUGUCUGUCUGUCUGUCUGUCUGUCUGUCUGUCUGUCUGUCUGUCUGUCUGUCUGUCUGUCUGUCUGUCUGUCUGUCUGUCUGUCUGUCUGUCUGUCUGUCUGUCUGUCUGUCUGUCUGUCUGUCUGUCUGUCUGUCUGUCUGUCUGUCUGUCUGUCUGUCUGUCUGUCUGUCUGUCUGUCUGUCUGUCUGUCUGUCUGUCUGUCUGUCUGUCUGUCUGUCUGUCUGUCUGUCUGUCUGUCUGUCUGUCUGUCUCUCUCUCUCUCUCUCUCUAUCUAUCUAUCUAUCUAUCUAUCUAUCUAUCUAUCUAUCUAUCUAUCUAUCUAUCUAUCUAUCUAUCUAUCUAUCUAUCUAUCUAUCUAUCUAUCUAUCAUAAUGCAUUGAUUUCCAAUAAACACUGCUAUGGGUUUACACGCUGAGUGAAAAAAAAUGAAAUAAAACAAAUCAUGUUGUCGUUUAGUUGUGUCCGACUCUUCAUGACCCCAUGGACCAGAGCAUGCCAGGCCCUCCUGUCUUCCACUGCCUCCCAGAGUUUGGUCAAAAUAUAAUAAAAGAUAAACACCACAAAAAAUCAAUAAAGCAGCCAUCAAUGGAUCGAGAAGGGAAAGGAAUGGAUAGCACAGCAGGCUUUGAGCCAGGCCAGGGUGUGGUCAGGGUGAUCAACCCUCCCCUCCACAGAAACCCCCCCCUUGUACAGCUUUAUUUCUCCCCACCCCAAUGAAACUGGAGGUCUGGAAGAGUGAUUUCCUUAGGAAAGAAUUCAAAGCAGCUUUGAAAACAAUCUUCUCUUUGCCAAGCUGUGGCCUUGGUCUGCCUGUGUUCCUCCCCAACCCCGUCAGGCUUUUCGCUUUCUCUGAUCUUUAUUUCUCUCUCAGGUAUCGGUCAAAAGAGCCACUAAAUCCCCCGAAGGCUACAAGGCCCCUCCAGACAUCAGGAAGGAGGCAGAUUUGUGGUGGAUUAGGCUGGGCAGUGAAGGAGACGCCACCUCCUCGGAAGGUAGCGAGAUGUACCUUCAGCCUCCUUCCAGGGAUUCUCUCACAAGAGAGAAGAUGGGCGCUGUUCAGCCAGAUCAGGUAGGAGUGAGGACACUUGGGAAAAAGGAUGGGGAAGGGUUGUCUGGAUGCAGCGGGGGGUGGUGUCUGCUUGGCUUUUAAAUA
rnacentral:lncRNA from 1 species